UACGUAGGGUGCAGGCGUUAAUCGGAAUUACUGGGCGUAAAGCGUGCGCAGGCGGUUUGCUAAGACAGGUGUGAAAUCCCCGGGCUUAACCUGGGAACUGCGCUUGUUACUGGCAGGCUUGAGUGUGGCAGAGGGGGGUGGAAUUCCACGUGUAGCAGUGAAAUGCGUAGAUAUGUGGAGGAAUACCGAUGGCGAAGGCAGCCCCCUGGGAUAACACUGACGCUCAUGCACGAAAGCGUGGGGAGCAAACAGG
rnacentral:rRNA from 1 species